ACUAUCUUGGCAGAUUAGUGCGAUAAAUUUAGAAUUUGUUUAUGUAGAUUUUUCUACAGAUAGUA
rnacentral:tRNA from 1 species